rnacentral:rRNA from 1 species
CUACGGGGCGCUCCAGUAACGAAUAUUCCGCAAUGGGCGCAAGCCUGACGGAGCGACGCCGCGUGCAGGACCGAAGUCCUUCGGGAUGUAAACUGCUUUUCAGGGAAGAGAAUCCGCAAGGUUGACUGUACCUGGAAUAAGCCACGGCUAACUCUGUGCCAGCAGCCGCGGUAAUACAGAGGUGGCAAGCGUUGUUCGGAAUCACUGGGCUUAAAGGGCGUGCAGGCUGCCAAGUAAGCGUUUUGUGAAAUCCCUCGGCUUAACCGAGGAAUUGCUUGACGAACUGCUUGGCUCGAGGCAGAUAGGGGCGACUGGAACUCUGGGUGGAGCGGUGAAAUGCGUAGAUAUCCAGGGGAACGCCGGUGGUGAAAACGGGUCGCUGGGUCUGUCCUGACGCUGAGGCGCGAAAGCUAGGGGAGCGAACGGGAUUAGAUACCCGGGUAGUC